CUUGCUUCCGACGGCGGGUCGGUGGCCACCUCGCCCGGCGGAUCCUCAGCGGCUUUGCGCCGCUUCGGUUCCUAGGCCUCGGUUAUGCGGCUAAGCCGCAUCGAAAUGGUACCCCUUAAACAUUCUAAUUUGAAUCGGUUGUGUCACCGGAGCCGGAAUACGAAUUAGAACCAGCCAGCAUUUCGGCUGAGUUAAACUGGGAAGUUUAGUAAAAUUUGAUCUGGAAAUAAAAAUCUUCUGGCAACGCUCCAGAACCCCGUUGAAUUCUAACGAUUUCACCACCUGGGCGCCAGGUUGACGGUAUGAAAUGAACUUUGUUUACUUUCGACAAGUUUUGAUUCGAGCCAACAACAUCCAGCCUUUGACAUCAGAGAAUUCUUCUGAUUCUCCUCGUUCUCGUCGAAAGAAAAAUAAAACAAAAUAUUAUCAAAUCGUGUCGGUAGUACUUUUACUCAUCGCGCUUUUUUGAUAAGUUAGACUAAGAAGUCCAGACUCCGCUAAUCCAGGUUGGCUCGACCAUCAACGGGAAGUAACAUCAUUCGUCAGUUGACGAUGGCGGCAGGAGAUAGUACGCCGCCGUUGCCGUUUAGUAACCGACCAAGUAACUGCUCUGGUACCGUAACCAUGGCCAUUUCCCUCGCACGCAUCGUAUCAUGUCAUCGACCGACGUAUCCAUCACUGCCCGUGGGACACCAAUGCUCAAAACAAUAAACCCAGCCGCCUUCAUCCGAGACCAGCCAUUUUACAAAAAAUAGCAUCUGCUCUCUCGAAGUAGCCACCGCCUGUGUGCAUCCGUACGGUACAGUGGUAUAUUUAAGCACCAAGGAUUAUUACGGUUAACUCGACAUAAAAUUAAAAAAAAUCGAUGGACAGCAUUGCCAUCAUAUUGAUGUGACAUUGAAUUCUAUUUUGGCCGCCACCGGAGUUAAAAACUAGAUGACGGAUUGCGCAGACAAUGAAACGAAAAAUAACCAUCACCUGCAUUAGCCACAGAACCAGAAAACGCGGACGCGGUUAUAUUUGCAUGAUUAGGGCAACGCAAAUGGCAAGCACUAGAAUACUUCACAGGGACAAAAUCAACAGCAACCAGACUGCAACCCAGCUUUGAACAGGAAUCAAUCGCAAAAUCAUCGGAUGUAGUUAGGGUUUCUACAUUUUUUAUCAGUAAAUAAAAGAAUGUGUUGCUUAAAAACAAUUUAUACAAGAAUUAAGCAUAUAGAUAGACUGAUAGUUACUGUUGUAAUAAAUAGCUUUCACCUAAUGAA